AGACAGCUGAGCAUCCUCCACGUGUUCCUUCUGCGAGGAUAAGUGCUUUUCUUAACUGAGUGCAUUUUUCUCCCAGCCCAUCCCUCCCACCUUGCCAUCUCUUCUCAUUGAACUUCCCAGUAAAUUAGCCUGUUGCUUUGACAACAGUUGGGACGCGAAGGUGGGGGAGGGCAAAUUGAAGGACUGGAAAAUACCGCAUCACUCUAGGGCAGGCCUGCUGCUGAGACCCAGACAGGAUGACAGCCAGGAGACGCCUGAAGACUGCAGUCAGCAACCGAGGGUGACUUGCCCUGAGCUGGAGGGGCUUUUCUUAUUCCUUCCCCUGCCCCUUGCAAGCUGCUAGGACUCUGCAAAUAAUGGAUGGAUCUCGGGGGAUUGAGCUGGUGUCUUGCCAAGAGAAAAGCAUAUUGAUGGCAACAGGUUGAAACCUCGAGUCAUGGCAAAAUUUAUGAUAGGGGCUUAUCAGCCUGAAGGAAAGAGAGUGGGGGAGGCCCAGGCGGUGUCUCUCCCCUCUGGAAUGUUCUGCUUGAUCCUUUUGCCACAUGAAAAAUGAAGUGUGGUGGACUAGAGGGGAGAGACCUUGUUAUGCUUGGAUGAUCACACAGACUUAGAUGCGGAGCCUGGUUUCAGAGUCUAACAAAUACCCAGGCAAUACCAGUUCAAGGGUGUAGAGAUAAAUAAUGGGCAACUCCCAUAAAAGGGUCAAACAUCUGACUUCAGAUAACAUGUUUCCUUUCUGAGUUGAAUUGCCUAGAGUUGAAUGAGGGUAAGAUUUGCAUUCACUUAUCUCUCCUUAACUCAGCUCAUAACUUUCCCUGUUUUCUCCCCAGGGUGUAUUAAAAACAGAGCUGCUUCCCAUGAAUGUGAUGGUUCCCAUUCAGAACUCUUACAACCUCGUCUUUGCGCUCUCAUCUUGACGGGAAAAAUAUCUUCCACGGUUUCAAGCCUCCUUAUGGCUAAAGCAGAGAUUGAUCACCCCUGGGAAGGAGAAGAAUUUUCUGAAAGUAAUAAGAAGAGGAAGCCUGAGUCUGUGCUGAAGGGUUCAGGGAGCAGAGAUGUAUUGAGACGUGAUGAGAGAAGAGGGAUGGCGGGGAGAAGCUGGAGCAAAUGA
ensembl:lncRNA